rnacentral:rRNA from 1 species
AGUGAACGCUGGCGGUAGGCCUAACACAUGCAAGUCGAACGGCAGCACAGUAAGAGCUUGCUCUUACGGGUGGCGAGUGGCGGACGGGUGAGGAAUACAUCGGAAUCUACUUUUUCGUGGGGGAUAACGUAGGGAAACUUACGCUAAUACCGCAUACGACCUACGGGUGAAAGCAGGGGAUCUUCGGACCUUGCGCGAUUGAAUGAGCCGAUGUCGGAUUAGCUAGUUGGCGGGGUAAAGGCCCACCAAGGCGACGAUCCGUAGCUGGUCUGAGAGGAUGAUCAGCCACACUGGAACUGAGACACGGUCCAGACUCCUACGGGAGGCAGCAGUGGGGAAUAUUGGACAAUGGGCGCAAGCCUGAUCCAGCCAUACCGCGUGAGUGAAGAAGGCCUUCGGGUUGUAAAGCCCUUUUGUUGGGAAAGAAAAGCAGCAGGUUAAUACCUCGCUGUUCUGACGGUACCCAAAGAAUAAGCACCGGCUAACUUCGUG